ensembl:lncRNA
AUGUGUUUCAGACUCGGAACGUGUCUCUUUAUAGCCGCACGAUCGUCACGUCAUGGAAGAAGCAUGCGGCUCCUGGGAGUAGGGGUACCUGACCAUAAAGGGCUUUUGGAGGGUGACUUUCCACUGAAGGAGCCCGAACGUCAGACUUAUCGGGCUGUGAACUUCUCUUUCUGGGCUGAGUCUAGCAGCAGGUGGAUUCUUUACCAGCUGAGCCACAAGGGAAGACCUGGACCACAGGGGAGACUCUACAACAUCGCCCCAAAGUGGGCUUUUGGGGGAGAGGCAGCCCCUCUCUACCUUGGUGUGACGCAAGGGCGGGUGCUGGCCGUGUCUGCACACAGGAAAAGCCUGAAAACGGUACGAUCCACACGUCCUGCGUGCUGGGUGCUCUGGCGGGCAUGGGGCAGCAGUGUGAAUGAGAAGAACUUCUGCCCGGUUGGCAGACUUCUAAACUGAUGGUUGGAUGGCAUCCGUGCAGCCACCGGGUCUCAGACACGUCCCCAGGGCCAGGAUCACCCCGGACAGUGGCUGGGUGUUGGCAGAGUUCAGGACAGGGGUUCUGAGUGGAGUCGACUCUUGAUUGUUGGGGAUCACGUGAACGUGCUGAAAAGGUACGUGUGACGGUGUCCGGCCAGAGGGAGACUGGGAGGACAGGCGGCCUCUGUCACUGGCGGUCGUGGCCGCAGGGCAGCCCUGGCCUCGUGGUCGGCCGUCUCUCCAGAGGCUGGCUCUGCCCGGACAUGCCGUGACGACGUGGCCGGUGACGACUCAGCCAACGGCAGGUGUGGGCGCUCUCAGUUUUCAGAAGGAAUUUUCUCUGCUGAUGACAUGUGCAAACUGAGGUGGAGACUUGAGCCCGUGCGGCAGUGGCAUGGAGUGCAGCCUGCCUGCGUGCUUCAUCUGGAAGGUUCUGGCAAGCGCGCUCUUGCGGCCACAGGUCUGGGAAUGGCCUCGUGUCUCCGUUUCUCGGCCCAAGUCAGCAGUUGUUCCAGGACAUCACGCGCUUGUGCUCUGCACUUGGCCACAUGGCGAUCCUCUGGGUCAGACUCUCGCGGGAUCGUGAUCGGGGAAGGUUCCCUACGUGAGGUGGGUCUGGGUCAGACUCUCGCGGGAUCGUGAUCGGGGAAGGUCCCCUACGUGAGGUGGGUCUGGAAGGGGCAUCGUGAAGUCUGCCCCGCUGCUCCCGCAGUUGCUUCACCUCAGCUCUCAGGCCCCUUCCUGGGACUUAACCCUGGGAGUUAACCCAGGUGAGCCGAGCCCACCUCCGGGGACGCGGGGACCGUGCCCCUAGGCUGCGGUCCACCCCCUUGCACGCGCGGGCAGAGGCCGGGCCCUCGGGGGCAGCCGAGUGUCCCAGCCACUUUAAUCACCUGCUCACGACCGUCUGCUGUUCAGGACUGAAACCUCCUGUCUGGUGCUGGGCCGUGUCUGCCCAAAGGUAAACUUCUUGGGAAGUUUCUGCCAGAGCAAUUAAGCCUUCCGUGAGUCGGUGAAAACAGAUUCUUUAUCUGACCUGUUUGGCUUCGGUUCACCGGGAAUUCAGAAUGUGACCCGGCCACUCAAGAGGUGCUGGGUCCCUGUACAUCUCUCACAUUCACACACUCGCACACCAGCCACCGACACACACCGUGCACACACAGGCCCUCGGUCUGGCUGGUGCGAACCCGUCUCUCCCCGCUUGGUUACGUGCCAGGAGAAGCACACCGGUCAGGACUCGGCGGUCCGAGGCACACACUCGCUGCUUCAGGAUCGGGAGUAGGGGUCCGAGCCAGAAGGCGAGUCUGGGGCACCUCUGACUCAGCAGGGGGAGCUAGGCCCUUCCGUCGCGAUGGGAGACGUGCCUCCCCACCCAGUCCCCAAGCUUUGCUCUUCUGUCCAGGAUGCUCUGAGCAGGUCUUGUCCUGGUCCUGACCUGACAAAGAGCCAUGUUCGCGUGUCCUGGGCAGCAGCGGGAGUCCCGGGGCAUGCAGGGAGGGCAGACGCUGUGAGUGGAGCCGAGGCCAGGGGCUGAGCUCACCCGCCACCUGGUUGCAGGUUUGCUGGUGCCAGUCAGUGGCUGGUCAGCAGCUCCGUCCCCUUCAGCCUUCUGGAGAAAUCUCGGGCUGCCAGGCCUAGGUGAGCCCUGGUCCCAAGGGCACCUGGCCAGGAGGCCUGUCUGCCUGCAGCUCUCUCCAGAAGGCCUCGGAGCGGCACGUUCCCACUAACACUUCCCGACUUGGAAAAACUGAACUCUCAAAAUUUCUGUAUUUA